rnacentral:rRNA from 2 species
GGGUUGUGAGGUUAAGCGACUAAGCGUACACGGUGGAUGCCCUGGCAGUCAGAGGCGAUGAAGGACGUGCUAAUCUGCGAUAAGCGUCGGUAAGGUGAUAUGAACCGUUAUAACCGGCGAUUUCCGAAUGGGGAAACCCAGUGUGUUUCGACACACUAUCAUUAACUGAAUCCAUAGGUUAAUGAGGCGAACCGGGGGAACUGAAACAUCUAAGUACCCCGAGGAAAAGAAAUCAACCGAGAUUCCCCCAGUAGCGGCGAGCGAACGGGGAGCAGCCCAGAGCCUGAAUCAGUGUGUGUGUUAGUGGAAGCGUCUGGAAAGGCGCGCGAUACAGGGUGACAGCCCCGUACACAAAAAUGCACAUGCUGUGAGCUCGAUGAGUAGGGCGGGACACGUGGUAUCCUGUCUGAAUAUGGGGGGACCAUCCUCCAAGGCUAAAUACUCCUGACUGACCGAUAGUGAACCAGUACCGUGAGGGAAAGGCGAAAAGAACCCCGGCGAGGGGAGUGAAAAAGAACCUGAAACCGUGUACGUACAAGCAGUGGGAGCACGCUUAGGCGUGUGACUGCGUACCUUUUGUAUAAUGGGUCAGCGACUUAUAUUCUGUAGCAAGGUUAACCGAAUAGGGGAGCCGAAGGGAAACCGAGUCUUAACUGGGCGUUAAGUUGCAGGGUAUAGACCCGAAACCCGGUGAUCUAGCCAUGGGCAGGUUGAAGGUUGGGUAACACUAACUGGAGGACCGAACCGACUAAUGUUGAAAAAUUAGCGGAUGACUUGUGGCUGGGGGUGAAAGGCCAAUCAAACCGGGAGAUAGCUGGUUCUCCCCGAAAGCUAUUUAGGUAGCGCCUCGUGAAUUCAUCUCCGGGGGUAGAGCACUGUUUCGGCAAGGGGGUCAUCCCGACUUACCAACCCGAUGCAAACUACGAAUACCGGAGAAUGUUAUCACGGGAGACACACGGCGGGUGCUAACGUCCGUCGUGAAGAGGGAAACAACCCAGACCGCCAGCUAAGGUCCCAAAGUCAUGGUUAAGUGGGAAACGAUGUGGGAAGGCCCAGACAGCCAGGAUGUUGGCUUAGAAGCAGCCAUCAUUUAAAGAAAGCGUAAUAGCUCACUGGUCGAGUCGGCCUGCGCGGAAGAUGUAACGGGGCUAAACCAUGCACCGAAGCUGCGGCAGCGACACUAUGUGUUGUUGGGUAGGGGAGCGUUCUGUAAGCCUGUGAAGGUGUACUGUGAGGUAUGCUGGAGGUAUCAGAAGUGCGAAUGCUGACAUAAGUAACGAUAAAGCGGGUGAAAAGCCCGCUCGCCGGAAGACCAAGGGUUCCUGUCCAACGUUAAUCGGGGCAGGGUGAGUCGACCCCUAAGGCGAGGCCGAAAGGCGUAGUCGAUGGGAAACAGGUUAAUAUUCCUGUACUUGGUGUUACUGCGAAGGGGGGACGGAGAAGGCUAUGUUGGCCGGGCGACGGUUGUCCCGGUUUAAGCGUGUAGGCUGGUUUUCCAGGCAAAUCCGGAAAAUCAAGGCUGAGGCGUGAUGACGAGGCACUACGGUGCUGAAGCAACAAAUGCCCUGCUUCCAGGAAAAGCCUCUAAGCAUCAGGUAACAUCAAAUCGUACCCCAAACCGACACAGGUGGUCAGGUAGAGAAUACCAAGGCGCUUGAGAGAACUCGGGUGAAGGAACUAGGCAAAAUGGUGCCGUAACUUCGGGAGAAGGCACGCUGAUAUGUAGGUGAAGUCCCUCGCGGAUGGAGCUGAAAUCAGUCGAAGAUACCAGCUGGCUGCAACUGUUUAUUAAAAACACAGCACUGUGCAAACACGAAAGUGGACGUAUACGGUGUGACGCCUGCCCGGUGCCGGAAGGUUAAUUGAUGGGGUCAGCGCAAGCGAAGCUCUUGAUCGAAGCCCCGGUAAACGGCGGCCGUAACUAUAACGGUCCUAAGGUAGCGAAAUUCCUUGUCGGGUAAGUUCCGACCUGCACGAAUGGCGUAAUGAUGGCCAGGCUGUCUCCACCCGAGACUCAGUGAAAUUGAACUCGCUGUGAAGAUGCAGUGUACCCGCGGCAAGACGGAAAGACCCCGUGAACCUUUACUAUAGCUUGACACUGAACAUUGAGCCUUGAUGUGUAGGAUAGGUGGGAGGCUUUGAAGUGUGGACGCCAGUCUGCAUGGAGCCGACCUUGAAAUACCACCCUUUAAUGUUUGAUGUUCUAACGUUGACCCGUGAUCCGGGUUGCGGACAGUGUCUGGUGGGUAGUUUGACUGGGGCGGUCUCCUCCUAAAGAGUAACGGAGGAGCACGAAGGUUGGCUAAUCCUGGUCGGACAUCAGGAGGUUAGUGCAAUGGCAUAAGCCAGCUUGACUGCGAGCGUGACGGCGCGAGCAGGUGCGAAAGCAGGUCAUAGUGAUCCGGUGGUUCUGAAUGGAAGGGCCAUCGCUCAACGGAUAAAAGGUACUCCGGGGAUAACAGGCUGAUACCGCCCAAGAGUUCAUAUCGACGGCGGUGUUUGGCACCUCGAUGUCGGCUCAUCACAUCCUGGGGCUGAAGUAGGUCCCAAGGGUAUGGCUGUUCGCCAUUUAAAGUGGUACGCGAGCUGGGUUUAGAACGUCGUGAGACAGUUCGGUCCCUAUCUGCCGUGGGCGCUGGAGAACUGAGGGGGGCUGCUCCUAGUACGAGAGGACCGGAGUGGACGCAUCACUGGUGUUCGGGUUGUCAUGCCAAUGGCACUGCCCGGUAGCUAAAUGCGGAAGAGAUAAGUGCUGAAAGCAUCUAAGCACGAAACUUGCCCCGAGAUGAGUUCUCCCUGACCCUUUAAGGGUCCUGAAGGAACGUUGAAGACGACGACGUUGAUAGGCCGGGUGUGUAAGCGCAGCGAUGCGUUGAGCUAACCGGUACUAAUGAACCGUGAGGCUUAACCUUACAACGCCGAAG